UACAGAGGGUGCGAGCGUUGUCCGGAAUCACUGGGCGUAAAGGGCGCGUAGGUGGCGCGACAAGUCAGUGGUGAAAGUUCGACGCUCAACGUCGAAUCGGCCACUGAUACUGUUGGGCUUGAGCACUGUAGAGGCUAAUGGAAUUCCGGGUGUAGCGGUGGAAUGCGCAGAUAUCAGGAGGAACACCGGUGGCGAAGGCGGGUCUCUGGGUAGUAACUGACGCUGAGGAACGAAAGCGUGGGUAGCGAACAGG
rnacentral:rRNA from 1 species